GACGAACGCUGGCGGCGUGCUCAACACAUGCAAGUCGAACGGUAAGGCCCUUCGGGGUACACGAGUGGCGAACGGGUGAGUAACACGUGGGUGAUCUGCCCUGCACUUUGGGAUAAGCCUGGGAAACUGGGUCUAAUACCGAAUACACCCUGCUGGUCGCAUGGCCUGGUGGGGGAAAGCUUUUGCGGUGUGGGAUGGGCCCGCGGCCUAUCAGCUUGUUGGUGGGGUGAUGGCCUACCAAGGCGACGACGGGUAGCCGGCCUGAGAGGGUGUCCGGCCACACUGGGACUGAGAUACGGCCCAGACUCCUACGGGAGGCAGCAGUGGGGAAUAUUGCACAAUGGGCGCAAGCCUGAUGCAGCGACGCCGCGUGAGGGAUGACGGCCUUCGGGUUGUAAACCUCUUUCAAUAGGGACGAAGCGCAAGUGACGGUACCUAUAGAAGAAGCACCGGCCAACUACGUGCCAGCAGCCGCGGUAAUACGUAGGGUGCGAGCGUUGUCCGGAAUUACUGGGCGUAAAGAGCUCGUAGGUGGUUUGUCGCGUUGUUCGUGAAAACUCACAGCUUAACUGUGGGCGUGCGGGCGAUACGGGCAGACUGGAGUACUGCAGGGGAGACUGGAAUUCCUGGUGUAGCGGUGGAAUGCGCAGAUAUCAGGAGGAACACCGGUGGCGAAGGCGGGUCUCUGGGCAGUAACUGACGCUGAGGAGCGAAAGCGUGGGGAGCGAACAGGAUUAGAUACCCUGGUAGUCCACGCCGUAAACGGUGGGUACUAGGUGUGGGUUUCCUUCCUUGGGAUCCGUGCCGUAGCUAACGCAUUAAGUACCCCGCCUGGGGAGUACGGCCGCAAGGCUAAAACUCAAAGAAAUUGACGGGGGCCCGCACAAGCGGCGGAGCAUGUGGAUUAAUUCGAUGCAACGCGAAGAACCUUACCUGGGUUUGACAUGCACAGGACGCCGGCAGAGAUGUCGGUUCCCUUGUGGCCUGUGUGCAGGUGGUGCAUGGCUGUCGUCAGCUCGUGUCGUGAGAUGUUGGGUUAAGUCCCGCAACGAGCGCAACCCUUGUCUCAUGUUGCCAGCACGUUAUGGUGGGGACUCGUGAGAGACUGCCGGGGUCAACUCGGAGGAAGGUGGGGAUGACGUCAAGUCAUCAUGCCCCUUAUGUCCAGGGCUUCACACAUGCUACAAUGGCCGGUACAAAGGGCUGCGAUGCCGUGAGGUGGAGCGAAUCCUUUCAAAGCCGGUCUCAGUUCGGAUCGGGGUCUGCAACUCGACCCCGUGAAGUCGGAGUCGCUAGUAAUCGCAGAUCAGCAACGCUGCGGUGAAUACGUUCCCGGGCCU
rnacentral:rRNA from 1 species